AUGGGGAAGCUUUAGCCCAAUACUCUUUGCAGUUCGAAAGUGGAAGCAUUUUCGCGACUCCUUCGAUUGGAGCAGCAGCUUCCGCUUUCAAUUGCAAAGGGAAUUGAGUCGAGCUUUUGUCUGUG
rnacentral:pre_miRNA from 1 species